rnacentral:tRNA from 1 species
GUCCUUGUCGAUUAGUGGUUAGAUCAUCAUGUUGUGGUCAUUCGCAAUUCCGUGAAGGCGCAGGCUCGAAUCCUGCCUGGGACA